CGUUCCCGGGCCUUGUACACACCGCCCGUCACACCACGGGAGUUGGCAACACCCGAAGUCGGUGAGGUAACCUUUUAGGAGCCAGCCGCCUAAGGUGGGGUCGAUGACUGGGGUG
rnacentral:rRNA from 1 species